rnacentral:rRNA from 1 species
UACAGAGGUCCCAAGCGUUGUUCGGAUUCACUGGGCGUAAAGGGCGCGUAGGUGGUUUGUUAAGUUGGAUGUGAAAUCCCCGGGCUCAACCUGGGAACUGCAUUCAAAACUGACUGACUAGAGUAUGGUAGAGGGUGGUGGAAUUUCCUGUGUAGCGGUGAAAUGCGUAGAUAUAGGAAGGAACACCAGUGGCGAAGGCGACCACCUGGACUGAUACUGACACUGAGGUGCGAAAGCGUGGGGAGCAAACAGG